rnacentral:rRNA from 1 species
CAGUAGCCGCGGGAAUACGGAGGGAGCUAGCGUUGUUCGGAAUUACUGGGCGUAAAGCGCACGUAGGCGGUUAUUCAAGUCAGAGGUGAAAGCCCGGGGCUCAACCCCGGAACUGCCUUUGAAACUAGAUGACUGGAAUCUUGGAGAGGUCAGUGGAAUUCCGAGUGUAGAGGUGAAAUUCGUAGAUAUUCGGAAGAACACCAGUGGCGAAGGCGACUGACUGGACAAGUAUUGACGCUGAGGUGCGAAAGCGUGGGGAGCAAACAGGAUUAGAGCCCCGGUAGUCCCUGUCUCUUAUACA